AGAAUCAACGCUGGCGGCGUGCCUAACACAUGCAAGUCGAACGAGAAAGUGGGAGCAAUCCCACGAGUAAAGUGGCGCACGGGUGAGUAACACGUGACUAACCUACCCUUGAGUGGGGGAUAACCUAGGGAAACCUGGGCUAAUACCGCAUAAUACCUACGGGUCAAAGGAGCAAUUCGCUUAAGGAGGGGGUCGCGGCAGAUUAGUUAGUUGGCGGGGUAAUGGCCCACCAAGACAGUGAUCUGUAUCCGGCCUGAGAGGGCGCACGGACACACUGGAACUGAAACACGGUCCAGACUCCUACGGGAGGCAGCAGUGGGGAAUUUGCGCAAUGGGGGAAACCCUGACGCAGCAACGUCGCGUGGAGGAUGAAGCCCCUUGGGGCGUAAACUCCUUUCGAUCGGGAAGAUAAUGACGGUACCGGAAGAAGAACGCCCCGGCUAACUUCGUGCCAGCAGCCGC
rnacentral:rRNA from 1 species